rnacentral:piRNA from 1 species
CUUAUUUGCCUUGUGGGGCUCCUAAAG